rnacentral:rRNA from 1 species
UACGUAGGGGGCAAGCGUUGUCCGGAAUUAUUGGGCGUAAAGCGCGUGUAGGCGGCCCGGUAAGUCCGCUGUGAAAGUCGGGGGCUCAACCCUCGAAUGCCGGUGGAUACUGUCGGGCUAGAGUGCGGGAGAGGCGAGUGGAAUUCCUGGUGUAGCGGUGAAAUGCGCAGAUAUCAGGAGGAACACCAAUUGCGAAGGCAGCUCGCUGGAACGUAACUGACGCUGAGACGCGAAAGCGUGGGGAGCAAACAGG